GGCGGCAUGCCUUACACAUGCAAGUCGAACGGCAGCACGGGAGCAAUCCUGGUGGCGAGUGGCGAACGGGUGAGUAAUACAUCGGAACGUGUCCUGUAGUGGGGGAUAGCCCGGCGAAAGCCGGAUUAAUACCGCAUACGAUCUGUGGAUGAAAGCGGGGGAUCUUCGGACCUCGCGCUACAGGGGCGGCCGAUGGCAGAUUAGCUAGUUGGUGGGGUAAAGGCCUACCAAGGCGACGAUCUGUAGCUGGUCUGAGAGGACGACCAGCCACGCUGGGACUGAGACACGGCCCAGACUCCUACGGGAGGCAGCAGUGGGGAAUUUUGGACAAUGGGCGAAAGCCUGAUCCAGCAAUGCCGCGUGUGUGAAGAAGGCCUUCGGGUUGUNAAGCACUUUUGUCCGGAAAGAAAACCUCNUGGUUAAUACCCGUGGGGGAUGACGGUACCGGAAGAAUAAGCACCGGCUAACUACGUGCCAGCAGCCGCGGUAAUACGU
rnacentral:rRNA from 1 species